CCUACGGGAGGCAGCAGUGGGGAAUAUUGCACAAUGGGGGAAACCCUGAUGCAGUGACGCCGCGUGAGUGAAGAAGUAUUUCGGUACGUAAAGCUCUAUCAGCAGGGAAGAAAAUGACGGUACCUGACUAAGAAGCCCCGGCUAACUACGUGCCAGCAGCCGCGGUAAUACGUAGGGGGCAAGCGUUAUCCGGAUUUACUGGGGGUAAAGGGAGCGUAGACGGCAGCGCAAGUCUGGAGUGAAAUCCCAUGGCUUAACCAUGGAACUGCUUUGGAAACUGUGCAGCUAGAGUGCAGGAGAGGUAAGCGGAAUUCCUAGUGUAGCGGUGAAAUGCGUAGAUAUUAGGAGGAACACCAGUGGCGAAGGCGGCUUACUGGACUGUAACUGACGUUGAGGCUCGAAAGCGUGGGGAGCAAACAGGAUUAGAUACCCCGGUAGUC
rnacentral:rRNA from 1 species